GGGGUCGGGCCGAGCUGCGACCAGACCCGGCCCGGCUGCGAGCUCGAGCUCCCCAGCGCGCGUGAGGGCAGGCACCCGUCCUAACGGUUGUUUCAGUUACAGUAGUACUAGGAGGCCCCAGUUAUUCUAGAAAAUGGAAAGGAGAAAAGAAGCAACUGAAGACUCCAACUGAGGCUCCAACCUGCAGCAUUGCCGACUUUGCCAGAUCCCUUCUAAAGAUUCAUUCAGCAUUCUUUGGAGCAUCAAGUCUUGGCCAGCCCUGGAGAAGAACUUCUUAGUCAGCUGGGAAACAAAGGCUGCCUUCAGUGAACUAAGACCCAAAUUGUGGGCCUGCAUCCUGCAACCUGAAAGACACAACUGUUACACUUCCAGGAGCCUCCGAAGUCAGCGAGGAGGUAUAACCAUCUUGUCAGGUGUUCCCCAGAAGAACCAUUAUUGAGCUGGAAGCACAUUUGUCAGAGUGAAGUGACUACUGAGUCUGUAAAAGUUACUGUGGUCGAAGUUGCCUAGGACGGUGGCUGCUGGGUGAACUGGGGGAUCAGAGUUCCCCAGUGACCCAUUAACAACAGAUUUUUAUGGAAAAGAAGCAUGGUUAAACUGGUGAAAAUAACUGUGCACAAGUCAUAAUAGCUCUCCAUUUGCAGAAGAGCUUGGGAGACUUGGCCUGGCAGGCGACCUGCACUCUGCACACCUGGCUAGCCAUAAGACACCCAGUUUGUGGAGGAAAGACCUAUGAUGUCUGCUGAGACCAGCCAUAGUCCUGGGGGAACAAUCUCUCCAUCAUUCAGCAGACAAUGUUGGAGUGCCUGCUGUUUGGCACAGGGUUGUAUUAGGUUACUAGAGAGUCUUAUUCAAUAGGGUUGAAAAAUGGGCAAUUUGCAAAAACUUUAUUACUCUCAAAACAGAGAAUGACUUGGUGAAAUUUAAUAUGGCUCAGAGAGACUGAAAGCAGCUACAGUGGAGCAGGCUCUCAUGAUUAUGGCUGAGGUGAAGGCUGAGUGGCCUUCAAUGGAGAAAGAGACAAGAGCAUGGCAAGGACAGAAAGGACAAGAUGCCCAUGUCAGCCUGCACUGGAUGCACCCAGGGAUGUUCCCCCCUCCUUUUGCUGAGGUGGCCUGAGGAAGGUGAGAUUUUUCAACAGCACAUCAACUCAUGUUGAAUGCAUUGAGUGAGCAGUUGGCAUUCCUACCCUGCUCUGUAUCCACUCCACAUGUCAACUGUUUCUUCUUCUGGGCUGUAACAGGGUCAGCACCCACCUCUCAUGCAUGCCCCUCUUUUCUCUGUCCAAUAGUGCCAGCAAACAGUUCUUUUCACUGGGGCAUCACCCACCUCUCGUGGGUGGCCCCCUUUCUCUGAAAUAUGAGCCUGCUUUUAUUUUUUGGUCUUACAUCAGGGUGGAACCUGCCUCCCGCAAGCACCCCCUGACUGGUGGUCCUCUCGGAUGGUCUUUGGCAGGUCAGCCCUCCAGCUGAGCCGCACAUGCUGUCCCCCCUUCCAGAGUAUACAGUCAAAGCUCUUUUUCAGCCCUUGUAUGGGGUCAUAGUUCUAAGGCUUCUUCCCUGAGGCACUGCCUUCUUCAAACAUCCAGCCAGGGCCCAUCUCAGUACCCUCAGCUGGUGUCCUUUUCAGCAGCCCUCCCUAGGCUCAGUCUGCCACCAGACCAGCAGGCCCUAUCUUGGUACUCUCGCCUGGUCUGGCAGAUCCUGGGCUCAGCCUGCCCAAACUGACCUUUUCAUGGUCCUGCUGCUACUCUAUCCAGCCAGCUAGGCACAUGGUCUUUGGCGACCUCCGCUGGGCUCAGUUCUAUCUGGUGAACUCUCUGCAGUGAGCUAUCCGCAGUCCUGCUGUUCGUCUGGCCAGCCAGACACCCAGUCCUCCCUCAUCAAGCUUCACACAGCAACUGCACUUCUCUGCUCUGCUGCUUGUCUUAUAUAGGGCCCUUCUGGUCCCUCAUUGGUCACUCCAGCAGCCCCUCUGAUUGGCCACUCUUCUGCAGCCACUCUAGGCUGCCUGAAGGACUUCUCGCUGCUCUAUUCUGGGGCAGGGUGAUGGAGAAUCACAAAGUCUCCAGCAAGGGGCCUCCAGACCUAGUCCACCCUGCCACAUGUGGCUUGACUUUUAUGGUAACUCUGGGAAGAGUAAUGGAACAGAAACCCAGCUCAAGCUCUCUCCCUAAACCUAGAUCCCCAAGCUUGGCUGUCUCCAGUUUCCUGAAGGACCUCCCUGUCUCUGAUCCUUGUUCCAUCUGAUCCAGGGCCACAGGAACUAAGCAUUUGUACUCACAGUUCCAACUCCUGCGAACAGGGUUGGUCAGCAGAUGAGCCAGGCUUCCCUGUGUGGGGCUGUGGGUCCUGCUUCCCUGUCACACCAUAUAAGAGAAAUAUUCUAGAACUUAACUUGUGGUGUAGAGUGUGCAAGGGGACUGGAUGCGAAGGGCUGUGCUGGUAACCGUGUGUGUGUGUUGUGGUGCUCCACCCUGUGGAAGGCUCCUGGCUGGUCACCUUGGAGCAAUGUGCACUGACAUUAAUUGCUGAUAAUUCACCAAGGACACAAGAUAAUGAGCAGGAAAAUAACAGAGAUUCACGCCUCUGUGCAGUAGGGCCUCCUGCUGUGAGCCUGAGCUGCCCCAUCUCCACAGCCCUUUGCCUGCUCUGACCAGGGCCAUGCUGCCACUGCAUGCGCUGUUGGUACUCCAUAGAUAAUAAAUAGCCUGGAUAAACAGCAUCCCUCACUGGCCGGCUGCAGGAGCAGCUGGAACCCCAUUGCCUGGCAUCCUCAGGGCUCCAGCAAAACCUGAACUGCACUCUCACCAGACAGACAGCAGGAUCAACCCAUCCACCUCAUCAGGGAACCUCAGCCGCAGAGUUCUUCCUGGGAUCCUGCAGCCACCUGAUUCUGCUGUUAUCAUGGCCCUGGCAUUGGGGAAUGGUGGAGGCAGUUUUUCACUUAAAUUAAAGCCCAGCAGCAUCCCAGACACCUGGCAUUUCCUGAGGGUCGGGGUAUCUCUGUUCGUCUUAUGUGCAAUGGGAAAAAUGAAUGUGUGAAAACGGGGCACGUUGUUUAGUCCACUAAAAGCAAUGCAGGGUGCUGGAGUCUUGACCUGUGUUAGACUGAACUGUUCCUUAAUCCACCCUCCCAAUCACUGUGGAGUCCUGAUUGUCAAUCCCAAAGUGGUUGGUGUUACAAACAGCAGCAUGUGCAUGGGAUAAUUUAAUUUGCAUGCAUUUUUCCAGGUCAGCCCAGAGCAGCUUGGAAAUGUGCUCACUUAAGAGGCAAAUGUAGCACAGCUGGCUAUAAAUUACAGUAACAUAUUGUGGGAGACCUAGCAAUGAGGUGCAUGUUGUUGAAGAGUGUCAUAGAUAGUAACCUAUUAAGCAAACUAUAAUUAUAAAUGUACCAUUGAAGACUUCACCGUUAUAAUUAACUCUGGCUCAGAACAUUAUCUCCAAGCAGAGUCAUUGUGAUUGAUUACGUUGGUUAGUGUCUAGGCUGUGAGAGGCAGGGUAACUGUUGAAAUAGAGAAGGAAGUAGAUUUUUUGUACUUGUCUCUAACGCUAAAAGAAUCUACCAGUUUGGCAAGCUCCUGGGUAGGACAGUUCUCCCGCAGGUCUGUGCCAGCUGCCAUCCCCAAAACGUCCAGAUAAUGACGUUCAGUAAGAAAAACUGGGGUCUUUACAAUAUCCUGGGAGAUGUGUUAUUGUCCAUGUGCUCAAAUAGUUCAAACACUGCUUUGUUAUAAAUGUGAGAUGAGAGCAGUUUGCUCAGACAACAGUUUGGAAUUUAAAGCCAUACACUCUGAUACACCCAAAUUUCAGAGCAUUCCCAGCAAAUUUUAAAAGCUUCUUGACUAACUGAGAAAGCAGAGUGCUAGAGAUCAGAAUGCAGGAUUGGGUGCCAGAUGCUCUCAGCUUUCAAUUCCACCUUUGCCAUUGAGUCCUUGAUUGUUGUGGGCGAGUCACUUAGGGUGGCGUUUUCAAACGUGGGAGCCUUACUAUACAACUGACCUGAUUUUCAAAGAUGCUGAGGCUUUACUCACAGCUCCCACUGGUUUCAGUGGGAGUUGCACAUGUUGAGCCCAACCAGCUCAGAACCACUGGGCAAGAAGGAAGCUCACAGGAGCCUAACCCAGCUCACUGCGGAGCUGACAUUAAUGCAGUAUGAGCAAAUGAUAAAUGCUCUAUUCGCUGAGUAUGGUGCCCUGAUGUAUUAAACAUGCAGAGAAGAAGGGAAGCAGCGUUUCAGGGGGACAGAGCAAACCCGGACCCCGGAGAGAAGGUGGAAUAUUGACCCUGUUAGAUUGUGGCUUAGGAAUUAUGGUGAAGAUCAGGGGUCAGCAACCUUUCAGAAGUGGUGUGCCGAGUCUUCAUUUAUUCACUCUAAUUUAAGGUUUCGCUUGCCAG